GUUUAAAAAAGCCCAAAAUGUACAACAAAAGCUGACAAAACAAAAGCCAAAAUAUUCAGGAUCCAAACUUGUCUUAGAACCUUUAAAUCACUCAUAUCCAAUGUAAUUCUGCCUAGCCUAUACUACUUUGUCUCAGAUUCUGGUGCUAUAAUUUGUUCAACAAAAUUUGAUGCCAAUAUAAAAUUAUUACCCAAUCCACAUUUAUAAAUGGAAAACGAUCAUUGCAUUCAAUACAAGUGCAGUAAAGUUUAACAAAAGCAGGACAAAUAGAGUAGUGUCAUUAAUAUGGAAAAAUAUGCAUGCGGACAAAAUUUAACAGUACUGUGAUAAUGGAUCACGGAAGUCCAGAUAGCACACACAAAUAAAUUGAGGACUCCAAUUAUAAUUAGAAGCCAAAAACACACAUAAACCACAUUGGAAUUGACUCUAUCAAUGCAAUUCAACAAACAAAAGAUCGACAGAAACAAAGUCAUUCAAAUC
rnacentral:misc_RNA from 1 species